ACCAGGAUGGCCGAGUGGAUAAGGUGUUGGACUUAAGAUCCAAUGGAUAAUAUCCGCGUGGGUUCAAACCCCACUCCUGGUA
rnacentral:tRNA from 1 species